GUUCCCGAGUCAAGCUACGGCCAUUCCGAGUCAACGCCACGGCNGUCCGAGUCAGCCGCCGCGUUCCGAGUCAGACCACUGGCCACGGCAUCCUCAAGACCGUCGGCUGCCGCUGUCUCAAGCCGCCGGCCAUUCCCAAGUCCAAAAAGAUGGCCUCCAUUUAUGUCUUCUUUAACCAGAAUUCUUGGAGUCUGAUCAAGUCCACCUAGUGAAGCCUAAUUUCAAGAUUGAUUCUUCCAGAUGUAAAAAUUAUUUGUUUUUUAUGGAUUAUGUGAACUCAGGCUGACUAAGAGAUUGGAAGUUUUCCAUGAAUCCGUGGGUGGAAGUAAGAAACAUCUACAGUAGGUGUAUGUCCUCAAGAUACCUAUGAGUUCAAGAUGAAAGAUGUCCCAGGAAUCCUGCUCAUCCAACUAUGGGGCCUGUUUAUUACAAUUCAUGACCGCUCCCACAUCUCCACACUACUUCAGAGCUGGCCAGAGAAGGACAUUCGUGUGAGUUAUGCCCACUCCCAACUACACCACCCUGUACUAUUACACAAUGUACCAGAACUCUCACUGUCAGACAAAUUAACACUCUCCAGGGUUUCACCAAUUCCAAAGACAUUGAUUCCACAUUGACUUGCACCAUGAAAACAAUGCCAAAAAGUCAUAUUAAUCUGCUCGUUAAGCAUUUAAAAGUUAUUAAGGUAAUGAUGUACGGGGUGGUAUGAAAUGAAGCAGUAAAAAAGUUGCGUCUGGUAAUGGGAUUCAAUUACAUAGCUCAUGCUGUUAUUUUGAAUUUGUAGUUUAUUGUGAAUAUGUGAAAAUGUGAUUAUAAAAGCAGAAAAUCUGUUUUUGCUGGAGGGCAGACUUACAAGCCAACCUAGCCAAUCACAGAUAUAAAUAUCCAAGAUAAAAACAUAAAAUUAUAAUUAAGUAAUUUGAUCAUAAAGAUGCCAAAACUCACAUGGAUGGAGAUAAGGAGAAAAAUGCCCCCAUGGGUGGGGUAAAUUGCCCCCAGUCUGACAAAGCAAUUUGCUUUAUACAUGUGCAGCAAAAUCAGAGUACGGGCAGUUUUAGCUUAAAAUGAAAAAGAGUUACAUCACUAAUUAUGAAUUACAAAAUUAUAAUAGCUUAUUUGAAAAAUAUUGUUAGAUGAUGCUAACUAGCUCCUUGAUGUUAACUUGAGG
rnacentral:lncRNA from 1 species